rnacentral:rRNA from 1 species
AACGUACGCUGGCGGCACGCCUAACACAUGCAAGUCGAACGAAGUAGCAAUACUUAGUGGCAGACGGGUGAGUAACAUGUAGGUAUCUGCCCUUUGGCCUGGAAUAACACGAGGAAACUUGUGCUAAUACCGGAUAAGUCUUUACGGAGAAAGCUUUAUGCACCAUUGGAUGAGCCUGCACUUGAUUAGUUUGUUGGUGGGGUAAUGGCCUACCAAGACUGUGAUCAAUAGCUGAUUUGAGAGGAUGAUCAGCCACAUUGGGACUGAGACACGGCCCAAACUCCUACGGGAGGCAGCAGUGGGGAAUCUUGCACAAUGGAGGAAACUCUGAUGCAGCGAUGCCGCGUGAGUGAAGAAGGCCCUUGGGUUGUAAAGCUCUUUCGUCGGGGAAGAAAAUGACUGUACCCGAAUAAGAAGGUCCGGCUAACUUCGUGCCAGCAGCCGCGGUAAUACGAAGGGACCUAGCGUAGUUCGGAAUUACUGGGCUUAAAGAGUUCGUAGGUGGUUGAAAAAGUUAGUGGUGAAAUCCCAGAGCUUAACUCUGGAACUGCCAUUAAAACUUUUCAGCUAGAGUAUGAUAGAGGAAAGCAGAAUUUCUAGUGUAGAGGUGAAAUUCGUAGAUAUUAGAAAGAAUACCAAUUGCGAAGGCAGCUUUCUGGAUCAUUACUGACACUGAGGAACGAAAGCAUGGGUAGCGAAGAGGAUUAGAUACCCUCGUAGUCCAUGCCGUAAACGAUGUGUGUUAGACGUUGGAAAUUUAUUUUCAGUGUCGCAGGGAAACCGAUAAACACACCGCCUGGGGAGUACGACCGCAAGGUUAAAACUCAAAUGAAUUGACGGGGACCCGCACAAGUAGUGGAGCAUGUGGUUUAAUUCGAAGAUACGCGCAGAACCUUACCAACACUUGACAUGUUCGUCGCGACUCUAAGAGAUUAGAGUUUUCGGUUCGGCCGGACGAAACACAGGUGCUGCAUGGCUGUCGUCAGCUCGUGUCGUGAGAUGUUGGGUUAAGUCCCGCAACGAGCGCAACCCUCACUUUUAGUUGCCAUCAUUAAGUUGGGCACUCUGAAAGAACUGCCAGUGAUAAGCUGGAGGAAGGUGGGGAUGACGUCAAGUCCUCAUGGCCCUUACGUGUUGGGCUACACACGUGCUACAAUGGUAUCUACAACAGGAAGCAAGACUGCGAAGUUAAGCAAAUCCCUAAAAGAUACCUCAGUUCGGAUUGCACUCUGCAACUCGAGUGCAUGAAGCUGGAAUUACUAGUAAUCGUGGAUCAGCGUGCCACGGUGAAUGCGUUACCGGGUCU